AGUGAACGCUGGCGGUAGGCCUAACACAUGCAAGUCGAACGGCAGCACAGUAAGAGCUUGCUCUUACGGGUGGCGAGUGGCGGACGGGUGAGGAAUACAUCGGAAUCUACUUUUUCGUGGGGGAUAACGUAGGGAAACUUACGCUAAUACCGCAUACGACCUACGGGUGAAAGCAGGGGAUCUUCGGACCUUGCGCGGUUGAAUGAGCCGAUGUCGGAUUAGCUAGUUGGCGGGGUAAAGGCCCACCAAGGCGACGAUCCGUAGCUGGUCUGAGAGGAUGAUCAGCCACACUGGAACUGAGACACGGUCCAGACUCCUACGGGAGGCAGCAGUGGGGAAUAUUGGACAAUGGGCGCAAGCCUGAUCCAGCCAUACCGCGUGGGUGAAGAAGGCCUUCGGGUUGUAAAGCCCUUUUGUUGGGAAAGAAAAGCAGCAGGUUAAUACCCCGCUGUUCUGACGGUACCCAAAGAAUAAGCACCGGCUAACUUCGUGC
rnacentral:rRNA from 1 species